GCUGGAGGUAUCAGAAGUGCGAAUGCUGACAUAAGUAACGAUAAAGCGGGUGAAAAGCCCGCUCGCCGGAAGACCAAGGGUUCCUGUCCAACGUUAAUCGGGGCAGGGUGAGUCGACCCCUAAGGCGAGGCCGAAAGGCGUAGUCGAUGGGAAACGGGUUAAUAUUCCCGUACUUGGUGUUACUGCGAAGGGGGGACGGAGAAGGCUAUGUUGGCCGGGCGACGGUUGUCCCGGUUUAAGCGUGUAGGUGUGUGUUCCAGGUAAAUCCGGUUCACUUUAACACUGAGGCGUGACGACGAGGCACUACGGUGCUGAAGCAACAAAUGCCCUGCUUCCAGGAAAAGCCUCUAAGCAUCAGGUAACAUCAAAUCGUACCCCAAACCGACACAGGUGGUCAGGUAGAGAAUACCAAGGCGCUUGAGAGAACUCGGGUGAAGGAACUAGGCAAAAUGGUGCCGUAACUUCGGGAGAAGGCACGCUGACAUGUAGGUGAAGUGAUUUACUCACGGAGCUGAAGUCAGUCGAAGAUACCAGCUGGCUGCAACUGUUUAUUAAAAACACAGCACUGUGCAAACACGAAAGUGGACGUAUACGGUGUGACGCCUGCCCGGUGCCGGAAGGUUAAUUGAUGGGGUCAGCGCAAGCGAAGCUCCUGAUCGAAGCCCCGGUAAACGGCGGCCGUAACUAUAACGGUCCUAAGGUAGCGAAAUUCCUUGUCGGGUAAGUUCCGACCUGCACGAAUGGCGUAAUGAUGGCCAGGCUGUCUCCACCCGAGACUCAGUGAAAUUGAACUCGCUGUGAAGAUGCAGUGUACCCGCGGCAAGACGGAAAGACCCCGUGAACCUUUACUAUAGCUUGACACUGAACAUUGAGCCUUGAUGUGUAGGAUAGGUGGGAGGCUUUGAAGUGUGGACGCCAGUCUGCAUGGAGCCGACCUUGAAAUACCACCCUUUAAUGUUUGAUGUUCUAACGUGGACCCGUGAUCCGGGUUGCGGACAGUGUCUGGUGGGUAGUUUGACUGGGGCGGUCUCCUCCUAAAGAGUAACGGAGGAGCACGAAGGUUGGCUAAUCCUGGUCGGACAUCAGGAGGUUAGUGCAAUGGCAUAAGCCAGCUUGACUGCGAGCGUGACGGCGCGAGCAGGUGCGAAAGCAGGUCAUAGUGAUCCGGUGGUUCUGAAUGGAAGGGCCAUCGCUCAACGGAUAAAAGGUACUCCGGGGAUAACAGGCUGAUACCGCCCAAGAGUUCAUAUCGACGGCGGUGUUUGGCACCUCGAUGUCGGCUCAUCACAUCCUGGGGCUGAAGUAGGUCCCAAGGGUAUGGCUGUUCGCCAUUUAAAGUGGUACGCGAGCUGGGUUUAGAACGUCGUGAGACAGUUCGGUCCCUAUCUGCCGUGGGCGCUGGAGAACUGAGGGGGGCUGCUCCUAGUACGAGAGGACCGGAGUGGACGCAUCACUGGUGUUCGGGUUGUCAUGCCAAUGGCACUGCCCGGUAGCUAAAUGCGGAAGAGAUAAGUGCUGAAAGCAUCUAAGCACGAAACUUGCCCC
rnacentral:rRNA from 1 species